AAGUAGUAGCAGUGGAGAAUGAAGAAACUGAAGUUCCCGUUGAAGCUGAGAGUACACAAGUAACCCAGGAAGCCAAGCCAGAGGUAGAGAACCCGGAACCUGAAAAAGUCGAAGUGAAAGAGGAAGUAUCAGCUGAAGAGGCUAAAGAAACUACUGAAACAGAAUCAGCACCCGAAAAAGUCGAAGCAAAAGAGGAAGUAUCAACUGAAGAGGCUAAAGAAACUACUGAAAUAGAAUCAGCAGCAAUAGCAGCACCAGUGGAAGAAGUAACCACCACAGAAGCAUAAAAAGUGAUCAGAAAGGAGUCUAGUUGUUGUCUACUUUUUUCACAUGUCAAAGUUGAUGAGAAGCUUUUCUGCUUUAUUUGUUUGGCUU
rnacentral:lncRNA from 1 species